rnacentral:rRNA from 1 species
CCUACGGGUGGCAGCAGUGAGGAAUAUUGGUCAAUGGGCGAGAGCCUGAACCAGCCAAGUCGCGUGAGGGAUGACGGCCCUAUGGGUUGUAAACUUCUUUUGUCUGGGAGUAAAACAGGGUAUGCAUACCCUCUUGUAUGUACCAUAUGAAUAAGCAUCGGCUAACUCCGUGCCAGCAGCCGCGGUAAUACGGAGGAUGCGAGCGUUAUCCGGAUUUAUUGGGUUUAAAGGGUGCGUAGGUGGGGUGUUAAGUCAGUUGUGAAAUUUUGCGGCCCAACCGUAAAAAUGCAGUUGAAACUGGCAGGCUUGAGUACAGUAGAGGUAGGCGGAAUGCGUGGUGUAGCGGUGAAAUGCUUAGAUAUCACGAAGAACUCCGAUUGCGAAGGCAGCUUACUGGACCGCAACUGACACUGAUGCACGAAAGUGUGGGUAUCGAACAGGAUUAGAUACCCGUGUAGUC